CCCUUAGAUGUCCGGGGCUGCACGCGCGCUACACUGAAUGAAUCAGCGUGCUAGAAAACCUUGUUUGACAUGGCUAGGUAACCCAUUGAAAAUCAUUCGUGAUUGGGAUCGGGACUUGCAAAUGUGUCCCUUGAACGAGGAAUUCCCAGUAAGUGCGGGUCAUCAGCUCGCGUUGAUUACGUCCCUGCCCUUUGUACACACCGCCCGUCGCUGCCCGGAACUGAGCCGUUUCGAGAAGACUGAGGACUGCUGACUUGAGGCCUUCACGGGCUUCUAGUCGGUGAAAAUCAAUUUAAUCGCAGCGGCUUGAACCGGGCAAAAGUCGUAACA
rnacentral:rRNA from 1 species